UACGAAGGGGGCUAGCGUUGCUCGGAAUUACUGGGCGUAAAGGGCGCGUAGGCGGACAGUUUAGUCAGAGGUGAAAGCCCAGGGCUCAACCUUGGAAUUGCCUUUGAUACUGGCUGUCUUGAGUUCGGGAGAGGUGAGUGGAAUGCCGAGUGUAGAGGUGAAAUUCGUAGAUAUUCGGCGGAACACCAGUGGCGAAGGCGACUCACUGGCCCGAUACUGACGCUGAGGCGCGAAAGCUAGGGGAGCGAACAGG
rnacentral:rRNA from 1 species